AGAAAGGCCUUUCGUUUUAUUGAAAAAAUGUUCAAGACUUAAUAAGUUUUAUGAUAAACUAUGAAUAGAUUAUCACAAACAUUUGAUCUGAGGUUGGAAGAAGGACCAAGAAGAGGAAUACCCAAAGUUAAACCGAUAACCGAAAGAUCUAUCUUAAAAUCGUGCUUAUACAACUUACCUAUAGGGAGUCUACAAUUUAUCUUACCUGCCUUAAUAUUACUCAUUAUUGGAGCUGUUUUAUUUAUUAUUUCUUCAGAAGACGAAGACACAAAAGUUGGAUUAAUUUAUUUAAUUAUUGGUGGAAUAUUAACAUUAUUAAGCAUGGGAUGCUGCAUGACGAGUUAUUGUAAAUAUAGGAUAAAAGAAAGAAAGAAAAUUGAGUUGGAAGAGGCUGAUGGAGAUAAGUUUUAUGGCAAAUAUAGAAGACAUGCUAGUAAAGGGAUAACGAAUCCUGGUUUUGAUAGUACAAUUUGAAUCGAUUGUUUCAGCAUUUGUACGUUUAUUUUUCAUUGUUAAACAUUCCAGUUUAUAACUAUACAUUGCACGUUUAUCUCUGUACAAUGUAUAUUAUACUCGGUCUAUAAUCAAUAUUAUGUUAUUUUACAGGUGUUUUGUAGUGGCAUCUGGUGUACGGUCUCUAUUUUUCAAUCCCUUUUUCUUUUAAUUCUUACAUAACAUUAUGCUCAUGAAGAAAUAAGCUUUCUAUAUCUCAAGAUGGCGCUUUAAUAUUGAUCUUACUAUUUGCUAUGCAAGUUUGAUGCGCCACCUGGAGAAAAAAUUGAGACUUAGCAAUAUAUUGUGACAGUCAUUAUCAAAAAAUGAAAAACUUUAUGUUUAUUCAUAUUUGUUUGACGGACGUAAACUUGAUUAUUACAAACUAUAUUUUCUUUACCUAAUAAUAAAAUUAUAUACAAAAGUCACAUGA
rnacentral:misc_RNA from 1 species